rnacentral:sRNA from 1 species
AUAUUAAUAUUAUAUUAUAAUUUGAUUAUUUGAUUAAAAAAGUAUUUUUGUUAAAAAAUUGAACUAAUAAUAAGAUGAAAAUUGUCAUGAUGGGUUGUAGAGAAUAUCUCAGAGUUUCUCAAGUGAGAAACUUUCUACACUCUCUCUUUCAUUUUCAUUAUUUUUAUUUUUUUAAUUGUGAGAAAUUCUUAUGAUAUAUCCUUAAUAGAGAUGGUUUUAGUGUGGUUUGAUUGGCUAUUUUGAUGUUAGUAGAGAAGUUUAUAAAUCAUA